rnacentral:rRNA from 1 species
AGCGAACGCUGGCGGCAGGCUUAACACAUGCAAGUCGAGGAGAGCGGCCGACGGGUGAGUACCGCGUGGGAACGUACCUUUUGGUUCGCAACCACACAGGGAAACUUAUGCUACUACCGGAUACCCAAAGAUCGGCCUGCGUGUGAUUAGCUAGUUGGGAUGGUAAUGGCCUCCCAAGGCGACGAUCAGUAGCUGGUCUGUGAGGAUGAUCAGCAACAUUGGGACUGAGACACGGCCCAAAAUCCUACGGGAGGGAGCAGUGGGGAAUAGUGGAAAACGGGGGCAAUCAAGAUCGAGCCAUGACGGGUGAGUGAUGAAGGCACGAGGGAUGUAAAGCUAUUUUGUGCGGGAAGCGGUACCGUAAGAAUAAGCCACGGCUAACUUCGUGCCAGCAGCCGCGGUAAUAC